AGUGAACGCUGGCGGCGUGCUUAACACAUGCAAGUCGAACGAGAACGGGUUAUAGCUUGCCAUAAUUGUCAGCUAAGUGGCGCACGGGUGAGUAAUGUAUAGGUAAUAUGCCUCUUACUAAGGGAUAACAAAUGGAAACGUUUGCUAAUACCUUAUACUCCUUAUUAACAGAAGUUAAUAAGGGAAAGAUUUAUUGGUAAGAGAUUAGCCUGUAUUGUAUCAGUUAGUUGGUGGGGUAAUGGCUUACCAAGACUAUGACACAUAACUGGUUUGAGAGGAUGAUCAGUCACACUGGAACUGAGACACGGUCCAGACACCUACUGGUGGCAGCAGUGGUGAAUAUUGCACAAUGGACGAAAGUCUGAUGCAGCAACGCCGCGUGGAGUAUGACACAUUUCGGUGCGUAAACUCCUUUUAUAUGAGAAGAUAAUGACGGUAUUAUAUGAAUAAGCACCGGCUAACUCCGUGCCAGCCGCCGCCGUAA
rnacentral:rRNA from 1 species